GUGGGGAAUCUUAGACAAUGGGGGAAACCCUGAUCUAGCCAUGCCGCGUGAGCGAUGAAGGCCUUAGGGUUGUAAAGCUCUUUCAGAGGGGAAGAUAAUGACGGUACCCUAAGAAGAAGCCCCGGCUAACUCCGUGCCAGCAGCCGCGGUAAUACGGAGGGGGCUAGCGUUGUUCGGAAUUACUGGGCGUAAAGCGCACGUAGGCGGACCAGAAAGUCAGGGGUGAAAUCCCGGGGCUCAACCCCGGAACUGCCUUUGAAACUCCUGGUCUUGAGGUCGAGAGAGGUGAGUGGAAUUCCGAGUGUAGAGGUGAAAUUCGUAGAUAUUCGGAGGAACACCAGUGGCGAAGGCGGCUCACUGGCUCGAUACUGACGCUGAGGUGCGAAAGCGUGGGGAGCAAACAGGAUUAGAUACCCGAGUAGUCC
rnacentral:rRNA from 1 species